rnacentral:rRNA from 1 species
UACGUAGGGUGCAAGCGUUGUCCGGAAUUAUUGGGCGUAAAGAGCUCGUAGGCGGCUGCUCAAGUCGAAUGUGAAAACUCGAGGCUCAACCUCGAGCCUGCAUUCGAUACUGGGCGGCUAGAGUCUGGUAGGGGGAUCUGGAAUUCCUGGUGUAGCGGUGGAAUGCGUAGAGAUCUGCAAGAAUACCCGUGGCGAAGGCGGCCAGCCUGGGGCCGGUUCUGACGCUGAGGCGCGGAAAGCGUGGGGAGCAAACAGGG